rnacentral:rRNA from 1 species
CUACCCUUGACAUGCCACUAACGAAGCAGAGAUGCAUUAGGUGCUCGAAAGAGAAAGUGGACACAGGUGCUGCAUGGCUGUCGUCAGCUCGUGUCGUGAGAUGUUGGGUUAAGUCCCGCAACGAGCGCAACCCUUGUCUCUAGUUGCUACGAAAGGGCACUCUAGAGAGACUGCCGGUGACAAACCGGAGGAAGGUGGGGAUGACGUCAAGUCCUCAUGGCCCUUAUGGGUAGGGCUUCACACAUGCUACAAUGGCCGGUACAAAGGGUUGCGAUACUGUGAGGUGGAGCUAAUCCCAAAAAGCCGGUCUCAGUUCGGAUUGGGGGCUGCAACUCGACCCCAUGAAGUCGGAAUCGCUAGUAAUCGCGGAUCAAGCACUUGUCGCGGUGAAUACGUUCCGGGCCUUGACACACCGCCGUACACCAUGGAAGUCUGCUGAACCAG